AUUGAACGCUGGCGGCAGGCCUAACACAUGCAAGUCGAACGGUAGCACAGAGAGCUUGCCCUCGGGUGACGAGUGGCGGACGGGUGAGUAAUGUCUGGGAAACUGCCCGAUGGAGGGGGACAACUACUGGAAACGGUAGCUAAUACCGCAUAACGUCGCAAGACCAAAGUGGGGGACCUUCGGGCCUCACACCAUCGGAUGUGCCCAGAUGGGAUUAGCUAGUAGGUGGGAUAAUGGCUCACCUAGGCGACGAUCCCUAGCUGGUCUGAGAGGAUGACCAGCCACACUGGAACUGAGACACGGUCCAGACUCCUACGGGAGGCAGCAGUGGGGAAUAUUGCACAAUGGGCGCAAGCCUGAUGCAGCCAUGCCGCGUGUAUGAAGAAGGCCUUCGGGUUGUAAAGUACUUUCAGCGGGGAGGAAGGCGGUGAAGUUAAUAGCUUCACCGAUUGACGUUACCCGCAGAAGAAGCACCGGCUAACUCCGUGCCAGCCGCCGCCGUAA
rnacentral:rRNA from 1 species